AUUUUCUAUGUGUUGUAGUAUAUAUGACUCAUGUUGUAGUAUGUAUGAGUCAUAGUAUAAAUGUCUAUAUCAUGUAAUAAGUACUUGAGUGUAUAGAUAGGUACUUGAGUGUAUAAACAUAGGUACUUGAGUGUAUGAAGACUUGUGUGACAUGCUUUAUACCAAGAGGCAACAAGCAUGGCAGAUUUCAUCAUUGAAUGCAAGUAUGUGGAGCUGCAGCCCUCAAUCAACAAGAGAAGAUUGUUACCAAAUUGAGUUUCUCUUAGAGCUUUCACACUAGCUAUGUAUUCCUAUAAAUACACUCCUUUGUGAGAAGAAUAAUACACAUGAAUUCUCAUUCUCUCUGAAUCGAAACUCUCUCUCUCUCUCUGUCAAUUUUGAUUGUCCUUAAACACGUUAUCAGCACGAAGUUGCUCUAGAAUUAGAAUCGAAAAUUGACAAGAGUAGAGUUCAUCAUCAAUCGAAGUCAUUUUUCCAAACCUACAAAAAACCUCCAAAACCUAGCUCAUAUCAAAGCCAUUGAUCCCAGAAGCCCAGAACCGGCCUCAGAAUCGCCGGAACCGGCCGGAAAAGGCCUGAACCGGCCGCCGGAAUUUUUGAACAGAACCAGACCGCUGCCAAGUGCUGCCGAGCAGCUGCGCAGCAGCUGCCGAGACCCUGCGCAGCAGCUGCCGAGAAGCUGCGCAGCAGCUGCCGAGACCCUGCGCAGCAGCUGCCGAGAAGCUGCGCAGCAGCUGCCGAGCGACCUGCGCAGCAGCUGCCGAGAAGCUGCGCAGCAGCUGCCGAGUCACCUGCCAAACACUUUUAAGUGAUUUUCCUGUGCAGAUCAGCCUGUUUGCACGCCCCGAAACAUCUUGAUAGGGACCUCAGAUCAAAAUCUUUCCUUCAUCAAAGUUGUUCGUCUAUGUCUCUUCUAUCUGACCUCCAAAUUGUAGCCCUGUUGGAGUAGUUUUGAGACCUGUACACCAUUCGAAGUGGGAGCUGUUCAGCACGCUCGUUCCUGUGCAGAUCAGCCUGUUUGCACACCCUGAAACAUCUUGUUCAGCACCUUUAAUCAAAAUACUUUCUUCAUCAAAGUUCUUCAUAUAUGUCUUUUCUAUCUGACUUCAAAAUUUCAGCCCUGUUGAAGUCGUUUUAAGACAUGUACACCAUUCAAAGUGGGAGCUAUUCAGUAUGAUCGUUCCUGUGCAGAUCAACCUGCUUGCACGCCGAUAAACGUCCUUUUCGGGACAUCUAAUCAAAAUCAUUUCUUCAUCAAAGUUGUUAAUCUCUGUCUCUUAUAUCUUAUCUCCAAAUUUCAGCCCUGUUGGAGCAGUUUUAAGACCUGUAUAACAUUUGAAGUGCGAUCUGUUCAGAAGCAAAUUUGCUCCGAAUUUCAACAAGAUGUCGAAUGAACCUAGACUCGACUUUCCAAUGCUUGACUCAACAGGCUCGGAAUACCAUGGCUGGGUAACCAACGUUGAGAACCAUCUCACUACGAGAGGGAUAUUGCCCAUAAUACAGGCACCUAACCAGGGCCUUGUGUUCCAACGAACACCCACAAAGCAUGCUGCUCAAGUAAUUAUCUUGAUGUGAUACCAUAUGGAUCAAUUGAAGCAUUGGUUCAAGCAAUGCCAUGCAAGUACCCAACUAGCUGCAAGCUACAAGGAGUAUAGGCAAUUGAGAGAGCAAGAAAUCAAUCUUGCUGAAGAUGAAGAUAUCAAUCUUGCUGAAGAUGAAGAUGGUGAAGAUAUCACUCUCACCACUGAGGACUUCAAAGCUGUAAAGAGCACGAGGAUGCCGCAGACUUUGAUUAGAAUAGUCCUUUUCUAUUUUCCAAUAAAACGGCAAAUGUGCCUUAGUCAACAAAUGACAAUUGUAUUGACUCUUUCUCAUGUGGCGUACCCAAUGAAGUAUGAUGUCUAGGAAAGUAAUUGAGAUCGGGGUAUUUAAGCGAGCCUCGCUCCACCAACAUCUCUCUACUUCCCUGGUCAUAUUUCAUUGGAAUUACCAAACGGAUUGGCAAUUACAAUUUGUAUAAGUUUGAUUUUAUUUUGGAAUAGAUUUUGGAAACUUUGAUGUAA